UACGUAGGGGGCUAGCGUUGUCCGGAAUCAUUGGGCGUAAAGCGCGCGCAGGCGGCGGUGCUGGCCCGGCGUGAAAGCCCCCGGCUCAACCGGGGAGGGUCGUCGGGGACCGCACCGCUUGAGGGCGGUAGGGGCUGGUGGAAUGCCUGGUGUAGUGGUGAAAUGCGUAGAGAUCAGGCGGAACACCCGUGGCGAAGGCGGCCAGCUGGGCCGUCCCUGACGCUGAGGCGCGAAGGCGUGGGGAGCGAACGGG
rnacentral:rRNA from 1 species